AUUGAACGCUGGCGGCAGGCCUAACACAUGCAAGUCGAGCGAACGGCGGACGGGUGAGUAAUGUAUGGGGAUCUGCCUGAUGGAGGGAGAUAACUACUGGAAACGGUAGCUAAUACCGCAUACCAUGAGAUGGACCCAUAUGGGAUUAGGUAGUAGGUGGGGUAACGGCUUACCAAGGCGACGAUCCCUAGCUGGCCUGAGAGGAUGAUCAGCCACACUGGGACUGAGACACGGCCCAGACUCCUACGGGAGGCAGCAGUGGGGAAUAUUGCACAAUGGGCGCAAGCCUGAUGCAGCAAUGCCGCGUGUAUGAAGAAGGCCUUCGGGUUGUAAAGUACUGUCAGUAGGGAGGCGUUACCUACAGAAGAAGCAACGGCUAACUCCGUGCCAGCAGCCGCGGUAAUUC
rnacentral:rRNA from 1 species